rnacentral:rRNA from 1 species
UACGUAGGGCGCAAGCGUUGUCCGGAAUUAUUGGGCGUAAAGAGCUCGUAGGCGGCCUGUCGCGUCUGCUGUGAAAUCCCGGGGCUCAACCCCGGGCCUGCAGUGGAUACGGGCUGGCUGGAGGCAGGCAGGGGAGAACGGAAUUCCUGGUGUAGCGGUGAAAUGCGCAGAUAUCAGGAGGAACACCGGUGGCGAAGGCGGGUCUCUGGGCCGAUACUGACGCUGAGGAGCGAAAGCGUGGGGAGCGAACAGG